CCUUGAAGAAACUUCACCAUCAAUGGCGUAAAGCAACACCAAUACCCUUGCGUGCCGGAAACCAUUGAUAGCAAAUAAACGAACCCAUAUUGAUUUUCGUGAUAAACAACAUUACCCUUUUGUGGGUUGCUGCUAAUAGUGCUGUAGUAGGUAGUGCAGUGGCCAGAAGUUGAGAAGCAGAGGAGGAGGAGGAGGAGGUUUUUCAGGGUUGGGGUUUUUGGGUAUUCAUUUUAGUUCUGGG
rnacentral:misc_RNA from 1 species